rnacentral:tRNA from 1 species
GGUGAGGUAAUCCUAAUGGUAAGGAAGCAGUUUGCUAAACUGUUAGUAGCCGGAAACGGUGUGUGAGUUCGAGUCUCACCCUCGCCGCCA